UUGUAAGUUUUUCUUUUUUGUUGUUUUUUGAAAAUAUCUAUUUUUAUUAAGUUAUAAAAUUUUAUGUGAAAAUUUUGUAAUUAAAUUUAAAUAUAUAAAUUUUUAUUUAUUUUUAAAACUACUUUAUAUUAAUAAUAUUGAAUAUUAAAUUUAUUGUUUAUCAUAUAUAUAUGUAUAAUUUUGAUUAUUAUUUAUUUAAUUAAGAUAUUAAAUUUUUAUUCUUUUAAAUUUUUUAUUAUAUGGGAAGAAGGAGGGGAAGAAAAAGGGGAAUUGGGGAAUACCAACAUCUCGUAUGUGAGAAUUUCACACCAUUAUAUUAGAUCUACAUGAAAUCUGUUUCAAAAGAAGGUCUUCAAAAGUCAUUCGAAUUCUACAAAAGUCUAUACAAAUUUUAAAAUGAAAGUCCAUAAAAGUUUAUGAAAGACGUUCACUAAUUCAAUACAAAUUUAUAAAUGAUCCACGAAAUCCACAAAAGUUAUCACUUAAAAAUAGUCCACCAAAAUCUUCAAAAGUCUCAGUUGAAUACAUCCCCGUUAACGUUGUUUUCAGGGUAAAGGUAAUUUAGAUACAAAUUGUGGGAGGCAAUCAGAUCAUUCGGACGAGACGAACAUUGUCAAGGACUUUUCAGAUGGCGAAAAUAUGAUGUUGACUAUAUCUGAGAUGGAAUCCGAGCCUAAUGAGGAGUGGAUUUUGGAUUCAACGUGUUCGUUCCAUAUGUAUCCCAAUAGGGCCUGGUUUGAAGCAUAUGAAAUGAUGAAGCAAUGUGCUAUUGUCAUGGAAAACAACAAAUCAACUGGAAUCGGAAGGGUCGAAUUGAGGUCGUUGAAUGGGACAGUAAGAACACUUAGCCAGGUUCAACAUGUUCCAGACUUAUGGAAGAAUAUCAUCUUACUGAAUACCCCUAGAUUCGAAUGGAUACACUUUCUCUGAUGGAGUUGGAGUCUUAAAGGUCUGAAAAGGCAUUCGGGUUGUACUGGAGGGAUGAAAAAAGUCUCAAUUGUACAUCUUGCAAGUAUUGGUGUUCAUGUUUUUCAGGAGUUUGAAGGUGUCAAGUCUAGCAAGGGGCCUUCAGUCAAAGUAUUUUGUGUAAAUUCUACUACAGGGUAUGCUUCGACCCUAUUUGAUAAAUUUUGAAUUCCGUGUGGAAUUUUGGAAACCCGGGGUUGCGUUUGGGUAUCAUUUGUGGAUGUUGUGGAAGAGUAGAACGUUUUUCAUGAGAUGUAGGAUUUUGGUUCUGAGUGAAGAGAUUUGUUUAUUACAUUGCAGUUGGACUUAUUUUUUUAGGUGGAGAAAUUUUGAAGUUUUGUUUGUUGUACCGGAAUUUGGGUCAAGGUAGAAAUUGUUAGAUUUUGUGACCUAAAUUAGGUUAGAUUUUUUGGAAAGUAAUAUUUCCUCUAUUUUCAUAUGAAUUUAUUGAAAAUAUAUUAUUUCCUUUAUUCCACACUAUUUUUGAUAUUAUUUCCAUCCUAAUGAUAUUUUUAGAGUUUGGUAUGUCCCUAUAAAUAUGUGGUUGUUCUAUUCAAUUUAGAG
rnacentral:lncRNA from 1 species